rnacentral:rRNA from 1 species
UGGGGAAUAUUGGACAAUGGGCGCAAGCCUGAUCCAGCAAUGCCGCGUGAGUGAUGAAGGCCUUAGGGUUGUAAAGCUCUUUCACACGCGACGAUGAUGACGGUAGCGUGAGAAGAAGCCCCGGCUAACUCCGUGCCAGCAGCCGCGGUAAUACGGAGGGGGCAAGCGUUGUUCGGAAUUACUGGGCGUAAAGGGCGCGCAGGCGGCUGCUCAAGUCAGGCGUGAAAGGCCUGGGCUCAACCCGGGAAUUGCGCUUGAGACUGGGCUGGCUUGAGUGCGGGAGAGGAUGGUGGAAUUCCCAGUGUAGAGGUGAAAUUCGUAGAUAUUGGGAAGAACACCGGUGGCGAAGGCGGCCAUCUGGACCGCAACUGACGCUGAGGCGCGAAAGCGUGGGGAGCAAACAGGAUUAGAUACCCUGGUAGUCCACGCCGUAAACGAUGAGUGCUAGACGUUGGGAGGCCUAGCCUUCCGGUGUCGCAGCUAACGCAUUAAGCACUCC